UACGGGGGGGGCAAGCGUUGUUCGGAAUUACUGGGCGUAAAGGGCUCGUAGGCGGCCAACUAAGUCAGACGUGAAAUCCCCAGGCUUAACCCGGGAACUGCGUCUGAUACUGGAUGGCUUGAAUUCGGGAGAGGGAUGCAGAAUUCCAGGUGUAGCGGUGAAAUGCGUAGAUAUCUGGAGGAAUACCGGUGGCGAAGGCGGCAUCCUGGACCGAGAUUGACGCUGAUGAGCGAAAGCUAGGGGAGCAAACGGG
rnacentral:rRNA from 1 species